rnacentral:rRNA from 1 species
UUAAGCGACUAAGCGUACACGGUGGAUGCCCUGGCAGUCAGAGGCGAUGAAGGACGUGCUAAUCUGCGAUAAGCGUCGGUAAGGUGAUAUGAACCGUUAUAACCGGCGAUUUCCGAAUGGGGAAACCCAGUGUGAUUCGUCACACUAUCAUUAACUGAAUCCAUAGGUUAAUGAGGCGAACCGGGGGAACUGAAACAUCUAAGUACCCCGAGGAAAAGAAAUCAACCGAGAUUCCCCCAGUAGCGGCGAGCGAACGGGGAGCAGCCCAGAGCCUGAAUCAGUGUGUGUGUUAGUGGAAGCGUCUGGAAAGGCGCGCGAUACAGGGUGACAGCCCCGUACACAAAAAUGCACAUGCUGUGAGCUCGAUGAGUAGGGCGGGACACGUGGUAUCCUGUCUGAAUAUGGGGGGACCAUCCUCCAAGGCUAAAUACUCCUGACUGACCGAUAGUGAACCAGUACCGUGAGGGAAAGGCGAAAAGAACCCCGGCGAGGGGAGUGAAAAAGAACCUGAAACCGUGUACGUACAAGCAGUGGGAGCACAGAGCAAUCUGUGUGACUGCGUACCUUUUGUAUAAUGGGUCAGCGACUUAUAUUCUGUAGCAAGGUUAACCGAAUAGGGGAGCCGAAGGGAAACCGAGUCUUAACUGGGCGUUAAGUUGCAGGGUAUAGACCCGAAACCCGGUGAUCUAGCCAUGGCAGGUUGAAGGUUGGGUAACACUAACUGGAGGACCGAACCGACUAAUGUUGAAAAAUUAGCGGAUGACUUGUGGCUGGGGGUGAAAGGCCAAUCAAACCGGGAGAUAGCUGGUUCUCCCCGAAAGCUAUUUAGGUAGCGCCUCGUGAAUUCAUCUCCGGGGGUAGAGCACUGUUUCGGCAAGGGGGUCAUCCCGACUUACCAACCCGAUGCAAACUGCGAAUACCGGAGAAUGUUAUCACGGGAGACACACGGCGGGUGCUAACGUCCGUCGUGAAGAGGGAAACAACCCAGACCGCCAGCUAAGGUCCCAAAGUCAUGGUUAAGUGGGAAACGAUGUGGGAAGGCCCAGACAGCCAGGAUGUUGGCUUAGAAGCAGCCAUCAUUUAAAGAAAGCGUAAUAGCUCACUGGUCGAGUCGGCCUGCGCGGAAGAUGUAACGGGGCUAAACCAUGCACCGAAGCUGCGGCAGCGACGCUGAUGCGUUGUUGGGUAGGGGAGCGUUCUGUAAGCCUGCGAAGGUGUGCUGUGAGGCAUGCUGGAGGUAUCAGAAGUGCGAAUGCUGACAUAAGUAACGAUAAAGCGGGUGAAAAGCCCGCUCGCCGGAAGACCAAGGGUUCCUGUCCAACGUUAAUCGGGGCAGGGUGAGUCGACCCCUAAGGCGAGGCCGAAAGGCGUAGUCGAUGGGAAACAGGUUAAUAUUCCUGUACUUGGUGUUACUGCGAAGGGGGGACGGAGAAGGCUAUGUUGGCCGGGCGACGGUUGUCCCGGUUUAAGCGUGUAGGCUGGUUUUCCAGGCAAAUCCGGAAAAUCAAGGCUGAGGCGUGAUGACGAGGCACUACGGUGCUGAAGCAACAAAUGCCCUGCUUCCAGGAAAAGCCCCUAAGCAUCAGGUAACAUCAAAUCGUACCCCAAACCGACACAGGUGGUCAGGUAGAGAAUACCAAGGCGCUUGAGAGAACUCGGGUGAAGGAACUAGGCAAAAUGGUGCCGUAACUUCGGGAGAAGGCACGCUGAUAUGUAGGUGAAGUCCCUCGCGGAUGGAGCUGAAAUCAGUCGAAGAUACCAGCUGGCUGCAACUGUUUAUUAAAAACACAGCACUGUGCAAACACGAAAGUGGACGUAUACGGUGUGACGCCUGCCCGGUGCCGGAAGGUUAAUUGAUGGGGUCAGCGCAAGCGAAGCUCUUGAUCGAAGCCCCGGUAAACGGCGGCCGUAACUAUAACGGUCCUAAGGUAGCGAAAUUCCUUGUCGGGUAAGUUCCGACCUGCACGAAUGGCGUAAUGAUGGCCAGGCUGUCUCCACCCGAGACUCAGUGAAAUUGAACUCGCUGUGAAGAUGCAGUGUACCCGCGGCAAGACGGAAAGACCCCGUGAACCUUUACUAUAGCUUGACACUGAACAUUGAGCCUUGAUGUGUAGGAUAGGUGGGAGGCUUUGAAGUGUGGACGCCAGUCUGCAUGGAGCCGGCCUUGAAAUACCACCCUUUAAUGUUUGAUGUUCUAACGUUGACCCGUAUCCGGGUUGCGGACAGUGUCUGGUGGGUAGUUUGACUGGGGCGGUCUCCUCCUAAAGAGUAACGGAGGAGCACGAAGGUUGGCUAAUCCUGGUCGGACAUCAGGAGGUUAGUGCAAUGGCAUAAGCCAGCUUGACUGCGAGCGUGACGGCGCGAGCAGGUGCGAAAGCAGGUCAUAGUGAUCCGGUGGUUCUGAAUGGAAGGGCCAUCGCUCAACGGAUAAAAGGUACUCCGGGGAUAACAGGCUGAUACCGCCCAAGAGUUCAUAUCGACGGCGGUGUUUGGCACCUCGAUGUCGGCUCAUCACAUCCUGGGGCUGAAGUAGGUCCCAAGGGUAUGGCUGUUCGCCAUUUAAAGUGGUACGCGAGCUGGGUUUAGAACGUCGUGAGACAGUUCGGUCCCUAUCUGCCGUGGGCGCUGGAGAACUGAGGGGGGCUGCUCCUAGUACGAGAGGACCGGAGUGGACGCAUCACUGGUGUUCGGGUUGUCAUGCCAAUGGCACUGCCCGGUAGCUAAAUGCGGAAGAGAUAAGUGCUGAAAGCAUCUAAGCACGAAACUUGCCCCGAGAUGAGUUCUCCCUGACUCCUUGAGAGUCCUGAAGGAACGUUGAAGACGACGACGUUGAUAGGCCGGGUGUGUAAGCGCAGCGAUGCGUUGAGCUAACCGGUACUAAUGAACCGUGAGGCUUAACCUU